rnacentral:rRNA from 3 species
UGGAGGACCGAACCGACUAAUGUUGAAAAAUUAGCGGAUGACCUGUGGCUGGGGGUGAAAGGCCAAUCAAACCGGGAGAUAGCUGGUUCUCCCCGAAAGCUAUUUAGGUAGCGCCUCGUGAAUUCAUCUCCGGGGGUAGAGCACUGUUUCGGCUAGGGGGCCAUCCCGGCUUACCAACCCGAUGCAAACUGCGAAUACCGGAGAAUGUUAUCACGGGAGACACACGGCGGGUGCUAACGUCCGUCGUGAAGAGGGAAACAACCCAGACCGCCAGCUAAGGUCCCAAAGUCAUGGUUAAGUGGGAAACGAUGUGGGAAGGCCCAGACAGCCAGGAUGUUGGCUUAGAAGCAGCCAUCAUUUAAAGAAAGCGUAAUAGCUCACUGGUCGAGUCGGCCUGCGCGGAAGAUGUAACGGGGCUAAACCAUGCACCGAAGCUGCGGCAGCGACACUGUGUGUUGUUGGGUAGGGGAGCGUUCUGUAAGCCUGUGAAGGUGUGUCGUGAGGCAUGCUGGAGGUAUCAGAAGUGCGAAUGCUGACAUAAGUAACGAUAAAGCGGGUGAAAAGCCCGCUCGCCGGAAGACCAAGGGUUCCUGUCCAACGUUAAUCGGGGCAGGGUGAGUCGACCCCUAAGGCGAGGCCGAAAGGCGUAGUCGAUGGGAAACGGGUUAAUAUUCCCGUACUUGGUGUUACUGCGAAGGGGGGACGGAGAAGGCUAUGUUGGCCGGGCGACGGUUGUCCCGGUUUAAGCGUGUAGGUGUGUGUUCCAGGUAAAUCCGGUUCACUUUAACACUGAGGCGUGACGACGAGGCACUACGGUGCUGAAGCAACAAAUGCCCUGCUUCCAGGAAAAGCCUCUAAGCAUCAGGUAACAUCAAAUCGUACCCCAAACCGACACAGGUGGUCAGGUAGAGAAUACCAAGGCGCUUGAGAGAACUCGGGUGAAGGAACUAGGCAAAAUGGUGCCGUAACUUCGGGAGAAGGCACGCUGACACGUAGGUGAAGUGAUUUACUCAUGGAGCUGAAGUCAGUCGAAGAUACCAGCUGGCUGCAACUGUUUAUUAAAAACACAGCACUGUGCAAACACGAAAGUGGACGUAUACGGUGUGACGCCUGCCCGGUGCCGGAAGGUUAAUUGAUGGGGUCAGCGCAAGCGAAGCUCCUGAUCGAAGCCCCGGUAAACGGCGGCCGUAACUAUAACGGUCCUAAGGUAGCGAAAUUCCUUGUCGGGUAAGUUCCGACCUGCACGAAUGGCGUAAUGAUGGCCAGGCUGUCUCCACCCGAGACUCAGUGAAAUUGAACUCGCUGUGAAGAUGCAGUGUACCCGCGGCAAGACGGAAAGACCCCGUGAACCUUUACUAUAGCUUGACACUGAACAUUGAGCCUUGAUGUGUAGGAUAGGUGGGAGGCUUUGAAGUGUGGACGCCAGUCUGCAUGGAGCCGACCUUGAAAUACCACCCUUUAAUGUUUGAUGUUCUAACGUGGACCCGUUACCCGGGUUGCGGACAGUGUCUGGUGGGUAGUUUGACUGGGGCGGUCUCCUCCUAAAGAGUAACGGAGGAGCACGAAGGUUGGCUAAUCCUGGUCGGACAUCAGGAGGUUAGUGCAAUGGCAUAAGCCAGCUUGACUGCGAGCGUGACGGCGCGAGCAGGUGCGAAAGCAGGUCAUAGUGAUCCGGUGGUUCUGAAUGGAAGGGCCAUCGCUCAACGGAUAAAAGGUACUCCGGGGAUAACAGGCUGAUACCGCCCAAGAGUUCAUAUCGACGGCGGUGUUUGGCACCUCGAUGUCGGCUCAUCACAUCCUGGGGCUGAAGUAGGUCCCAAGGGUAUGGCUGUUCGCCAUUUAAAGUGGUACGCGAGCUGGGUUUAGAACGUCGUGAGACAGUUCGGUCCCUAUCUGCCGUGGGCGCUGGAGAACUGAGGGGGGCUGCUCCUAGUACGAGAGGACCGGAGUGGACGCAUCACUGGUGUUCGGGUUGUCAUGCCAAUGGCACUGCCCGGUAGCUAAAUGCGGAAGAGAUAAGUGCUGAAAGCAUCUAAGCACGAAACUUGCCCCGA